CCUACGGGAGGCUGCAGUGGGGAAUAUUGGACAAUGGGGGGAACCCUGAUCCAGCCAUGCCGCGUGUGUGAAGAAGGCCCUCGGGUUGUAAAGCACUUUCAGUGAGGAAGAACGCCUGGUGGUUAAUACCCAUCAGGAAAGACAUCACUCACAGAAGAAGCACCGGCUAACUCCGUGCCAGCAGCCGCGGUAAUACGGAGGGUGCGAGCGUUAAUCGGAAUUACUGGGCGUAAAGCGCGCGUAGGUGGCUUGAUAAGCCGGUUGUGAAAGCCCCGGGCUCAACCUGGGAACGGCAUCCGGAACUGUCAAGCUAGGGUGCAGGAGAGGAAGGUAGAAUUCCCGGUGUAGCGGUGAAAUGCGUAGAGAUCGGGAGGAAUACCAGUGGCGAAGGCGGCCUUCUGGACUGACACUGACACUGAGGUGCGAAAGCGUGGGUAGCAAACAGGAUUAGAUACCCGAGUAGUC
rnacentral:rRNA from 1 species